CGGGCGGCAGCAGCAACCGCCGCCGCCGCCGCCGCAGCGUGAGGCGGCUCCAGCGGCGCGAUGGCGGCUACGGCGGGCAGAUCGUUGCCGCUCCUCCUCUGCCGCCGCCGGCCCGCCGCCCUGACGGCGGCCGGUUGCUUCCCGGCGCUGGGGCGGCGCCGCCAACAGCAGCAGCAGCGACACCGGACGGUGCAUCAGAGGCUUUCUCCUUGGCAGAGUGUUAGAGUGGUCUAUUGCAGUACAGUAGUGCCCUCUGAUGAAGUGACGGUGGUUUACCAAAAUGGGUUACCUGUGAUUUCUGUGAAUCUUCCAUCCCGGCGUGAACGUUGCCAGUUCACGCUUAAACCGAUCUCGGACUCUGUUGGUGUGUUCUUACAACAGCUGCAAGCAGAGGACCGAGGAAUUGAUCGGGUUGCAAUCUACUCAGCAGAUGGCACACGUGUCGCCUCCUCCACAGGCAUAGAUUUGCUUCUGCUGGAUGACUUCAAACUGAUCAUUAAUGAUGUCACAUAUCAUGUUAGACCACCAAAGAGAGAGCUCUUAAGCCAUGAAAAUGCAACGACGCUGAAUGAUGUCAAGACAUUGGUUCAGCAGUUGUAUACCGCCUUGUGCAUUGAGGAGCACCAGCUGAACAAAGAGAAGGAGCUGAUAGGGAGACUAGAGGAAUUGAAGGAGCAACUAGCACCACUAGAAAAAGUAAGGAUGGAGCUCAGCAGGAAAGCAGAGAAGAGGACAACGUUGGUGUUGUGGGGAGGCCUGGCCUACAUGGCCACUCAGUUUGGGAUUCUGGCCCGCCUCACCUGGUGGGAGUAUUCUUGGGACAUUAUGGAACCAGUCACCUAUUUCAUCACCUAUGGUAGUGCCAUGGCAAUGUACGCUUAUUUCGUAAUGACUCGCCAGGAAUAUGUUUAUCCAGAUGCCAGAGACAGACAGUACUUAUUAUUUUUCCAUAAAGGAGCCAAAAAGACACGAUUUGAUCUAGAGAAAUACAAUCAACUCAAGGAUGCAAUUGCUCAGGCUCUGGAAAUGACAGUGUAGGAUAUCCAGGGCAAGAUGUGUUCUCCCCCUGCCUUGGAGAAGGAGCUACGCAAGGAGUAGAGGGAGAAUUGGACCUUAAGAGGCUUCGAGACCCGCUGCAGGUUCACCUGCCCAUCCAGCAAAUUGAUGAAAAGGACUGAUCAGCAAAGAAGUUUUGAACCCCAGCAAAAAACCUGUUCAUAGCUCUUGCCUUUUUAAUUAAAGCAUUGCAGGUGGAAGCUGGGAGGUGGUGUGGGGGUGGAGGGUUUUUUACCUUUAAUCAAGACGAAAGACUGUAGGGGGGGAAUCUCUUAAGUCCGAAGAUGGGACAUUGUGGAAUGUUAGUUCUCAAAAGGGCUUGGCAAAUAGUCACAUUUAAAAAACCGACUGAAUGGCAAUUGUGUACAAGUACAGGAUUGGGGGGUUCAUGAAAAGAAUGUAAUGCUGGGGUGUAGGGGUGUCUUCUUCCAGCUUUGCAGGGUCUGCCUCUUGAAAAGACACCAGCAGCCUGCUUAGCUUUUUAAAUUUUCCUUUACCUGAUUCAGAUCUCUCUUUCUCUCUCAAAAAAAAGGAGAAAAAAAAAAAAAAGAACAAAGAAUCCAAGCCACCUGGAGCUAUGGCUGGUGAUCAGAACUUGCACUCCACCGCCAUUAACACGCACACUUCUGAUCAGACCUGGUCUCUUUUAUAAAGUUACUACAAGACUGCUUUCUACUGGAAAACCGUGAGCUUCCCCUUCCCAGCCCACCCCAUGUGCUCCACUGACUUCCUCCUUUGCUUAUUUGUAGCACAGAUUGGUUGUAGCCAAGUGAGAGAAGGAACACGUUUUCUUCUGGACAUUUGAUAAUUGAUAUUUUGGAUUAUUCCAUAAUAAUUAUAUAAAAUUUGCGUCCCAUUGCCCUUGAGCUCCUUCUAGAAAUCAAUGGCAGCGUUGCAUGAGAGGUUUUUUAUCUUCAGUCUUAAGGGAGGGAGAUUCCCCUCUUCCUACCCCAAAUCUGAUAGCCACCUGGACUAUGAAAUUCUGAAUGUUUAAAAGAUCAUGAAACUCUCGCAGAAUUGUGACUCCUGCUUAAAUGAACAGUUUUGGAACAUGGAAUAAUUAAACUUGAUAUUUGACUGCUUGUGUAACGGGAUAAAAGGUCUCAUAUAUGGUCAAAGCAUUUUCCUUGCCCAGAAGGCUUCUUGAAAGCCCGGGGCUUCUACAGUGCAAGACACAGAACUACUUCAGUUCUCUAGCACUUUCCCCUACUUAAGUAGCUUUAAAUGAACUUUGCACCCACAGGUCAGAAUUUCUUAGGAGUGGCUAAUGACAUCUCUUGUUCUUAGCUAAAAGAAACAGAGGAAGGAAAGUCAACCCGUUGCCCUCUCUUCUAGCCAAGGCUGGCUGAUUUCUAAGCAGAUAAACAUCUCUUCAUUCAAAGCGGGUCAGUCUGUUUUAGCAUCCUGCUGAUAAAUACUGUGGAGACAGGAUGAAGGUGGGAGAAGGGCACUAAGCUUUAUAUACAGAAAGGCUGGCUGCUUUUUUGAUGUUUCACUACUACUCCUCACUGUGUCAUGGAAAGAGGCUUCUGCGGUUUUUGGAGAACCAUGUUUAAAAAAAAAUAGGAAAGGAAAAAACAAAUCAGUAUUAACUAGACGCCAGGUGCCUUGCAGAUGUGGAAACACAGCUGGGAUUGCUGCCUCUUCUCACUCAAUGGCAUGUUGGACCGAAUGGGUGCAUGUUUCUAGGUUGUUUUUUCCCCCUUCCCCUUUUCCUCUGUCUUUCAAUUUAAUUACAUUGUGUGAUUAUUUUUUUAUCUGUUUUAUCCUGUUUGUGUGGUGAGUUUUAAAGGGGAAAAAAAUGAACACGAUCCUGUAGCUGAAUCCUUGGUGUGUGUUUGGGAUGAGGGAGGGAGCAUGGAGAAAAGUCCUUCUUUAAAAAAAAAAAAACAACAAAAGAAAACAAAAAAAAAAAUCUGAACAUGUGUAAAAUCCUGUAUCAUUUAUGAAAUAUGUAUAAAAGAGCAAUGUACUUCUGGAACAAUAAAUAACUAUUCAAUUUUUGAA